CGAUAACGAACGAGACCUUAACCUGCUAAAUAGCCCGGCUGGCUUUGGCUGGUCGCUGGCUUCUUAGAGGGACUAUCUGUGUUUAGCAGAUGGAAGUUUGAGGCAAUAACAGGUCUGUGAUGCCCUUAGAUGUUUUGGGCCGCACGCGCGCUACACUGACAGAGCCAGCGAGUUUUUUCCUUGUCCGGAAGGUCCGGGUAAUCUUGUGAAACUCUGUCGUGCUGGGGAUAGAGCAUUGCAAUUCUUGCCCUUCAACGAGGAAUUCCUAGUAAGCGCAAGUCAUCAGCUUGCGUUGAUUACGUCCCUGCCCUUUGUACACACCGCCCGUCGCUACUACCCCAUUAAAGGCCU
rnacentral:rRNA from 1 species